rnacentral:rRNA from 1 species
UACGAAGGGUGCAAGCGUUAAUCGGAAUUACUGGGCGUAAAGCGCGCGUAGGUGGUAUGAUAAGUUGGAUGUGAAAGCCCCGGGCUCAACCUGGGAAUUGCAUCCAAAACUGUCUGACUAGAGUACGGUAGAGGGUAGUGGAAUUUCCUGUGUAGCGGUGAAAUGCGUAGAUAUAGGAAGGAACACCAGUGGCGAAGGCGACUACCUGGACUGAUACUGACACUGAGGUGCGAAAGCGUGGGGAGCAAACAGGAUUAGAUACCCCCGUAGUCCCU